rnacentral:lncRNA from 1 species
UCUGAACUAAUUAAUAUUUGCAUGAAAGUUUAUAAAACAAUUUUCAAUGUCUUCCUUUCAGUAUAGAGGCAGGGAUUAAAUCAUCCAUGGCUUAAUUUGAUGAAAUUCUGCUAGAAUGAAGUCAUGCUUUUCAAAUAGUAGAAGAAAACGCUGAAGAUUAUAUGACAAGAUGGAGUUGUAUAAAGACAAGUAAAGAAACAUAAAAGAAAGAAACAAACAAAAAACCCCAAAACCACGAGCUCCAUACAUCUACACGUUAUUGACUUUUACUGGGUUAAAAUGCAAAUCAAAGAAGUUACUUCCAUGACUUAGGCCCAAUAGUUGUCCAGACCCUCUUUUGAGGCAGGAAGCCCAAGGACACCCUCCUACCCUCCUGGAAAACAGAAAUCAAAAACAACCCAGAGGAAAAUCCCCAGCAAGCCCCACUGCUGGUCUCCUGCUUUCUGCCUUCAAAAAUCCUGAUACUUCAAAAAUCCUGAACCACCCCAGGUCUAGGAGUUCAGCUUCCUGACGUUAGUGACCUGAGUCUCCUCACCUGAAUAAAGGGGUCUUCCUGAGCUAAUCUUCUUGGCAUAGUUUUCUCAACAGAAUUUCUGCAACGCUUUCGGAUAACAAAAUUCGCAAGUAAUUUCCAGUCUUCUUCAUGCACUGACUCAGAUUAGUAAUUAUAUCACCCAAC